AUAUCGCGAGGUGUCAGCAGCCGCGGUAAUACGUAGGGUGCGAGCGUUAAUCGGAAUUACUGGGCGUAAAGCGUGCGCAGGCGGUGAUGUAAGACAGUUGUGAAAUCCCCGGGCUCAACCUGGGAACUGCAUCUGUGACUGCAUCGCUGGAGUGCGGCAGAGGGGGAUGGAAUUCCGCGUGUAGCAGUGAAAUGCGUAGAUAUGCGGAGGAACACCGAUGGCGAAGGCAAUCCCCUGGGCCUGCACUGACGCUCAUGCACGAAAGCGUGGGGAGCAAACAGGAUUAGAUACCCUGGUAGUCCACGCCCUAAACGAUGUCAACUGGUUGUUGGGUCUUAACUGACUCAGUAACGAAGCUAACGCGUGAAGUUGACCGCCUGGGGAGUACGGCCGCAAGACCGAAACUCAAAUGAAUUGGC
rnacentral:rRNA from 1 species